rnacentral:lncRNA from 1 species
GGUCACCAGUGGUCACUGCUGGUCACCGCUGGUCACUGCUGGUCACUGGUGGUCACUGGUGGUCACCGCUGGUCACCGCUGGUCACUCUGUCCAGGUGGUCACCGCUGGUCACCGCUGGUCACUGCUGGUCACUCUGUCCAGGUGGUCACCGGUGGUCACCGGUGGUCACUGCUGGUCACCGCUGGUCACUCUGUCCAGGUGGUCACCAGUGGUCACUGCUGGUCACCGCUGGUCACUGCUGGUCACUGGUGGUCACUGGUGGUCACCGCUGGUCACCGCUGGUCACUCUGUCCAGGUGGUCACCGCUGGUCACCGCUGGUCACUGCUGGUCACUCUGUCCAGGUGGUCACCGCUGGUCACUCUGUCCAGGUGGUCACUGCUGGUCACCGGUGGUCACUGCUGGUCACCGCUGGUCACCGCUGGUCACCGCUGGUCACUCUGUCCAGGUGGUCACCAGCAGUCACCGCUGGUCACCGCUGGUCACUCUGUCCAGGUGGUCACCGCUGGUCACUGCUGGUCACCGC